AACGCGACCGGAGAACAGUUUCGCAAAUGAGUUUGUCGAAUACUUGUGUGCAAGAGAUUCGGAACUGAGAAAACGAUAGCCACACUACGCCCGUAGAAGCCCUGUUUUAAUUCCGAAGGACCCGGGUUCGAUUCCCGGCACCUCCACCA
rnacentral:tmRNA from 1 species